rnacentral:misc_RNA from 1 species
AACGCAUAUUGCACUCUCUGGUAAUCCGGAGAGUAUGCCUGUUUGAGGGUCAGUAAAUAAUAAUUAUCAUGAAUCUUUGAUUUAUGGAAUUGGGCUUUUAUUUCGAUAGAUCUAUGGCCUUAAAUUUACGGGCUUGUCAUAUGAAAUCCGAUCUAAAGGAGCAAUUAAACAUUCUCUCAUUAGCGGAUUUUUACAAGCUGUUACGAUUUUUGGUUGCUUUCAGCACUUUUGCGAGCGCGAAACCAAAAUCGUAAGUUACUCUAAAAUGACCUCAAAUCAGGCAAGAAUACCCGCUGAACUUAA